rnacentral:lncRNA from 1 species
AAACUAUGAUGGAGUGACUAGAAUGAUGAAGGGAAUUCAAACUAUGAUGGAGCGACGAAAAUUGUAUGUCGUCUAGCGACUAGAAUGAUGAAGGGAAUUCAAACUAUGAUGGAGCGACGGAAAUUGUAUGUCGUCUAGAAUUUUCAAGAUACAUUGCUUUUAAUUUUGGAAUGAAGGGAACUCAACCUAUGAUGGACAUCUUAGAAUGAUGAAGGGAACUCAAACUAUGAUGGAGCGACGGAAAUUGUAUGUCGUCUACUUUUUAAGAUACAUCGCUUUUAAUUUUGGAAUGAAGGAAACUCUACAUAUGAUGGAGCGAUGGGAGGUACAUCUUGGAGUGAAGGAAGCUCUACCUAUGAUGAGCGAUGAGAGGUACAUCUUGGAGUGAAGGAAGCUCUACCUAUGAUGGAGUGAUGAGAGGUACAUCUUGGAGUGAAGGAAGCUCUACCUAUGAUGGAGCGAUGGGAAGUACAUCUUGAAAUGAGGAGAACUCGACCUAUGAUGGAGCGAUGGGACGUACAUCUUGGAAUGAAGAGAGCUCAAACUAUGAUGAUGCGAUGGGAGUGUGAGUCGUCUCCACCUAUACAUUUAACUCCCGACCUAGAACACAAGCUAGAUCUCUUGCACCCAAUGCCAGACAAUCAGAACCAUUAUGCACCAAUGAAGAGUGAGCUCUUCCAUGACUUUACUCCUACUUCGAGUUGCACUCCCAUGUUUAUUUACCACAACUCCCUCCUCUUCUCGCCCAUCAUCUUACUAAUUUUCGUCGCCCUCUCUUCUCCCACAUCUAGUUGCACCACCCUAAUAACUAGUCUGACUCGCCAAGUACCUCGAGCAAAUUGCAAAGUCUGCCAUUGACACUAUUGGCUUCAAAUUCUUAUAUUUGUGUGGAUCUCAAACCCUCAAAAUAUGUCUAGGCUUUGUUCUUCUCCAAUAUCUCAAAAGAUAUCUGAUUGUAUAGCUCAUCAUUGG